GCUAGUGUGGUGUAAUGGAUUGCAUGUUGGACUACAACUCUGGAGACUAGGGUUCGAAUUCCCACUGAGACA